rnacentral:rRNA from 1 species
GGCUCAGAAUCAACGCUGGCGGCGCGCUUAACACAUGCAAGUCGAACGAGAAAGCCGGGGCAACCUGGUGAGUAAAGUGGCGUACGGGUGAGUAACACGUGGGUAAUCUACCUUCUGGUGGGGAAUAACCCUGGGAAACCGGGGCUAAUACCGCAUAACCCCGCAAGGGAAAAGUAGCAAUACGCCGGAAGAGGAGCCCGCGGCCGAUUAGCUAGUUGGUAGGGUAACGGCCUACCAAGGCAACGAUCGGUAGCCGGCCUGAGAGGGCACACGGCCACACUGGCACUGAAACACGGGCCAGACUCCUACGGGAGGCAGCAGUGGGGAAUCUUGCACAAUGGGGGAAACCCUGAUGCAGCGACGCCGCGUGAGCGAUGAAGCCCUUCGGGGUGUAAAGCUCUUUCGGCAGGAACGAUAAUGACGGUACCUGCAGAAGAAGCUGCGGCUAACUACGUGCCAGCAGCCGCGGUAAUACGUAGGCAGCAAGCGUUGUUCGGAGUUACUGGGCGUAAAGAGUGCGUAGGUGGUUCUCUAAGUUCGGUGUGAAAUCUCCCGGCUCAACUGGGAGGGUGCGCCGAAAACUGGAGGGCUUGAGUGCGGGAGAGGAGAGCGGAAUUCCUGGUGUAGCGGUGAAAUGCGUAGAUAUCAGGAGGAACACCUGUGGUGCAGACGGCUCUCUGGACCGCCACUGACACUGAGGCACGAAAGCGUGGGGAGCAAACAGGAUUAGAUACCCUGGUAGUCCACGCCCUAAACGAUGCAUACUUGGUGUGGGUCAUUCAGUUGAUCCGUGCCGGAGCUAACGCGUUAAGUAUGCCGCCUGGGGAGUACGGUCGCAAGGCUGAAACUCAA